rnacentral:rRNA from 1 species
UACAGAGGGUGCGAGCGUUUGUCCGGAAUCACUGGGCGUAAAGGGCGCGUAGGUGGCUUGCCAAGCGUGUGGUGAAAGCCCGGAGCUCAACUCCGGGUCGGCCAUGCGAACUGGCAGGCUAGAGCACGGUAGAGGCCAAUGGAAUUCCGGGUGUAGCGGUGGAAUGCGUAGAGAUCCGGAGGAAGACCGGUGGCGAAGGCGGUCUGCUGGGCAGUUUCUGACACUGAGGCGCGACAGCGUGGGGAGCAAACAGG